UACGGAGGAUGCGAGCGUUAUCCGGAUUUAUUGGGUUUAAAGGGUGCGUAGGCGGAAUAUCAAGUCAGCGGUAAAAAUUCGGGGCUCAACCCCGUCGUGCCGUUGAAACUGAUGUUCUCGAGUGGGCGAGAAGUAUGCGGAAUGCGUGGUGUAGCGGUGAAAUGCAUAGAUAUCACGCAGAACUCCGAUUGCGAAGGCAGCAUACCGGCGCCCAACUGACGCUGAAGCACGAAAGCGUGGGUAUCGAACAGG
rnacentral:rRNA from 1 species